GACACCCAACCAAGUUCCAGGAACACGGAGCAGCGAGGGCCCCUACUGCUGAGUCAGCAGUUGGCCUGGGGACCUCACCAGAGGCUGGGAGCUGGGGCUCAGCCAGGUCUGGCUGGCCCACACCACAGAGCCCACACUGGCUCUGUCCUCUGGCAAUCUCUGAGAUUACAGCAUUGAAUCCACCACGGGGAGAUCACCCAGGAGUGAGGAGCACAGCUCAGUGGACGAAAAGAACCCUUGCUCAGCGCGUUCAAGGCUUUGGGCUCCAUUCCCAGAAAUGUCUUCCCCCCAGUCCAUAGACCACUGUUAGGUACCACAGCCAUGGAGAACACAAAAUGUACAUUAAAACCAUGGCUCCUUUAA